rnacentral:misc_RNA from 1 species
GAAAUGCGAUAAGUAAUGUGAAUUGCAGAAUUCAGUGAAUCAUCGAAUCUUUGAACACACAUUGCGCCCGUUAGCAUUCUAGCGGGCAUGCCUGUCCGAGCGUCAUUUCAACCCUCAGGGCUCCCUUUAGGGGGAGACCUGGCGUUGGGGAUCGGCCCGCCCAGCGCGGCGCCGUCCCCCAAAUUCAGUGGCGGUCUCGCUGCAGCCUCCCCUGCGUAGUAGUUUACACCUCGCACCGGAGCGCGGCUAGGCCACGCCGUAAAACCCCCGACUUUCUGAACGUUGACCUCGGAUCAGGUAGGAAUACCCGCUGAACUUAAGC